ACCGCCGCGGGUCAAAGUGCAGUAUCUGUUCUUGUCAGCUUGAUGUCUGAUACAGGUUGUAUUUGGAACUAAGAUAAUAAGCAUAAUUGUGCAAGUUCGCUGAGUUCUUAAAGCCUGGUCGCCGCCGCUGGUCAUCUUAAAACCUCCCCCACUAGUUAGCGUGGUACUGCACUAUUUUCGCGAUUGGACCACUUUGU